UAUCUUCAUGCCCAGAGAUAACUCUUUCAUUGUUUCUUUCUCCAGUUCCUUGCCCAUCAUCUGCUCCGCUUUCAUGACUGCAUGUUCUGUAACUGUCGUGGGUCAGGUCAGCAGCUGCAGGAGAACUUGAUUAGUGCCUUGCCUCUGUGCAGAAGCAUUUCCCUGACAGCAUCGAUCCUGAGCGGUUUUGCUUUGCAGGCAGCUCCAGAGAGGAGGAGCUUGUACUGCAAGGGGGUGGACCGCUGUCUGGUCAAGUUUUUUACUUGUAUUUCUGUACUUCAACCAUGCUCCAAAGCUGACAUCAAAUAUCUAUCCCAAAGAAAGGAAGGAAGAGCCCUAAGAUCGACAAGAAGAGGGACUGCAGCAACAGAAAGUAAAUAUAAGCACUAGAGACACACUUAGGUUCAAAUCCCUGCUCUGCUGCAUUGUAGCUGCAUGACUUCUGGCAAGAAGAAAUCAAGCUGGGUGAGUCUAGACUGCAAUGGAUUAUCUGGAUCCAAAGCCGAAUGAGUUCAAAUUCAGAGCAUCCCAAGGCCGAUGAAGAAACUGAAGCAUAAAGCAUUUAGAAG